rnacentral:tRNA from 1 species
GCCCAGAUGGUGGAAUUGGUAGACACGCUAGUUUCAGGGACUAGUGGCCGUACGGCUGUGCAGGUUCGAGUCCUGUUCUGGGUACAA